rnacentral:rRNA from 1 species
GUGGGGAAUAUUGGACAAUGGGCGAAAGCCUGAUCCAGCCAUGCCGCGUGAGUGAUGAAGGCCUUAGGGUUGUAAAGCUCUUUCAGUAGGGAAGAUAAUGACGGUACCUACAGAAGAAGCCCCGGCUAACUUCGUGCCAGCAGCCGCGGUAAUACGAAGGGGGCUAGCGUUGUUCGGAUUUACUGGGCGUAAAGCGCACGUAGGCGGAUUGGUCAGUUAGAGGUGAAAUCCUGGAGCUCAACUCCAGAACUGCCUUUAAUACUGCCAGUCUAGAGUCCAGAAGAGGUGAGUGGAACUCCUAGUGUAGAGGUGGAAUUCGUAGAUAUUAGGAAGAACACCAGUGGCGAAGGCGGCUCACUGGUCUGGUACUGACGCUGAGGUGCGAAAGCGUGGGGAACAAACAGGAUUAGAUACCAUAGUAGUCC